rnacentral:rRNA from 2 species
UUGACGCUGGCGGCAGGCCUACACAUGCAAGUCCAGCGGAUGAAGGGAGCUUGCUCUCUGAUUCAGCGGCGGACGGGUGAGUAAUGCCUAGGAAUCUGCCUGGUAGUGGGGGACAACGUUUCGAAAGGAACGCUAAUACCGCAUACGUCCUACGGGAGAAAGCAGGGGACCUUCGGGCCUUGCGCUAUCAGAUGAGCCUAGGUCGGAUUACCUAGUUGGUGGGGUAAUGGCUCACCAAGGCGACGAUCCGUAACUGGUCUGAGAGGAUGAUCAGUCACACUGGAACUGAGACACGGUCCAGACUCCUACGGGAGGCAGCAGUGGGGAAUAUUGGACAAUGGGCGAAAGCCUGAUCCAGCCAUGCCGCGUGUGUGAAGAAGGUCUUCGGAUUGUAAAGCACUUUAAGUUGGGAGGAAGGGCAGUAAGUUAAUACCUUGCUGUUUUGACGUUACCGACAGAAUAAGCACCGGCUAACUUCGUGCCAGCAGCCGCGGUAAUACGAAGGGUGCAAGCGUUAAUCGGAAUUACUGGGCGUAAAGCGCGCGUAGGUGGUUUGUUAAGUUGGAUGUGAAAGCCCCGGGCUCAACCUGGGAACUGCAUCCAAAACUGGCAAGCUAGAGUAUGGCAGAUGGUGGUGGAAUUUCCUGUGUAGCGGUGAAAUGCGUAGAUAUAAGAAGGAACACCAGUGGCGAAAGCGACCACCUGGGCUAAUACUGCCC